rnacentral:rRNA from 1 species
CAGUAGCCGCGGGAAAACGUAGGUGGCAAGCGUUGUCCGGAAUUAUUGGGCGUAAAGGGCUCGCAGGCGGUUUCUUAAGUCUGAUGUGAAAGCCCCCGGCUCAACCGGGGAGGGUCAUUGGAAACUGGGAAACUUGAGUGCAGAAGAGGAGAGUGGAAUUCCACGCGUAGCGGUGAAAUGCGUAGAGAUGUGGAGGAGCACCAGUGGCGAAGGCGACUCUCCGGUCUGUAACUGACGCUGAGGAGCGAAAGCGUGGGGAGCGAACAGGAUUAGAUACCCGCGUAGUCCCUGUCUCUUAUAC